rnacentral:rRNA from 1 species
GCCACUGCUAUUGGGGUUCGGCUAAGCCAUGCGAGUGGAGGGCGUCCCGCAAGGGAUGGCCCCGCAGACGGCUCAGUAACACGUCGUCAACCCACCUUAGGGUGGGGGACAACUUCGGGAAACUGAGGAUAAUCCCCCAUAGGCGGGGGAGGCUGGAAUGCGCCCCCGCUGAAAGCUCAGGCGCCCUAGGACGGGACGGCGGCCUAUCAGGUAGUUGGUGGUGUGACG